UGAACGCCGUUUGAGUAUGGCGUCGAUACAAUGUUGAGCUUGCCGGAAUCCUUCAGCUCGACGAAGUCCUUGUUGGGCAGAUCAUAGGAAAUGUCGGCAUCGCCGCGUUCCAGCAGUGCCCGCCGGUUGCCGGACUGCGGCACCAUGCGCCAUAUAACGCGCUUGAUCUUCGGCAUCGGUCCGCCGACCCAGUUUUCGUU
rnacentral:misc_RNA from 1 species